AGGUAAGAACAGAACAUUCUUCUCCAUAACCACCAUUAAUAUCCGGAACACAUUACUCGCUCCUAUCAUGUUUCAUGUCUGCUCAGAGGGACCUUACAGUUUUUCCCUCUGCAGGCUCCACAUCUCUUGUCCUUGAGUUAGUGGGUGAAGACUAGCUGCUAUGAUACACUACACCCACUGAAAAGAAGUUGCAGCCCCCCUAUUUUUUUUAUGGGAUAUGCUCAGAGACAGCAGUACUGAGCAGUGUAAACUGUAAAUCCAGCAAUGGGGUGAGAUAGAACAUUUACCAGAGCAUUUAGCAGCUACUUGUGUCUGCCUUAGUAUCUCCCCCCUCCUCACCAUAGACUUCUCUGGAAAGCAGUAACAUGAUCUCUCAAUGAAGCUGUCUUUCAGCAAGAAUAUUGCAUUUUGGAGGGGAAGGGAGUCAGAAAAUGAGCCUGAUAAUUGGAAAAAGAAGCACAUUUCUCUAGUAAGGUAUAUUACAAUGUUUCUUAUAUUCACUUGUACUACUUGUUUAUGCAAAGUUUAUUGAAAUGUUAGCCACCACUGAAGUUUUAAACAAGUGGUUAUAUAAAAAAAAGUCACCCUGAUAAUAUAGGAGAACCUAGUGGGAUGCAAAGCAGACAUCAAAGUGGAAAUUCUACUGAGAAUAAGAAGAGUUUGUAUUCUGCACAACAAAUACUGCACAUUACGUGAUAUCCUAUUUAAAUAUGAAUACGCUUUGGUGCGAAUUCACUUACAGAAGUGGCUUAUAUGUUAUCAGAGUGGUUUUAUUAAUGUAAAUAAUUGUCUUAGCAGAGCCAGCAGAGAAUGCUUCCUGACUCCCCCCGACAAGGUCCCAAAUAUGAAUGUUAAGUGAUGAGUCAGUUAAGCAGCGUCUAUUUCUGGUCACAAGCCAAAAUAGAUAGGACAAUUGCUUUGUGAGGCAGUCAGAUAAAGAAACUGCAGCUCACCAGUGUUCCUAUGAUAACAGUCCAUUCAUAGCUGCAAAAAUAGACUCACACAGCAGGGUCCCCAGAGACAGUCCGCAGCACAAGAAUUUGUCUAAUUCAGGAGCUGAGCAACUGAACGCGCUGGUGACAGCAAUGUUGUGCGUCCAACAAGUUUCUGGGGUUACACUAAACUAUGUCACUUCUAUGUUUGUAUAGGACAUUAAAGCUGUUUACUCUAAGAGCGGGAUGGUAUCUUGUAUCUAUUGCGGAGGGGAAAGAAAGAAUAAAGAUGCCUCCAUGUUGAUGUUUUCCAGCAGAGAUUUGUUUUGGUGCCUCGGGCACGGAAAGAUAAGUGACAGUCACUCAAGGUCAGACGUGUGCAGGAAGUGACCCUGUUUCUCCCAUUUGACUCAUUGUUUCAAGAGUCCUUGUGUUUACAUUUCAGAACAAAAAACCUGAGAAAGCACAGCCCCGAAAGCCAUGACUAAAAACCACUAUCAUAAAGGCAACAUUGCAAAAUAGGGCCAAUCCUUGUCUGCAGCGAUGUACAGGUUACGUGAUUUAGUCAUUAACACAAUAUACUUUCUGUACAAAAACAUUAAAACAAAA